UACGUAGGGGGCAAGCGUUGUCCGGAUUUAUUGGGCGUAAAGAGCGUGUAGGCGGCCAGACAGGUCCGUUGUGAAAACUCGAGGCUCAACCUCGAGACGCCGAUGGAAACCGUCUGGCUAGAGUCCGGAAGAGGAGAGUGGAAUUCCUGGUGUAGCGGUGAAAUGCGCAGAUAUCAGGAAGAUUCCCCGUGGCUAAGGCGGCUCUCUAGUACGGUACUGACGCUGAGACGCGAAAGCGUGGGGAGCGAACAGG
rnacentral:rRNA from 1 species